rnacentral:rRNA from 1 species
GACGAACGCUGGCGGCGUGCUUAACACAUGCAAGUCGAGCGGUAAGGCCCUUCGGGUACGACGAGCGGCGAACGGGUGAGUAACACGUGGGUGACCUGCCUCUAGCUCUGGGAUAAGCCUGGGAAACUGGGUCUAAUACCGGAUAUGACUCCACGGCGCAUGUUGUGGGGUGGAAAGCCUUGUGUGGCUAGAGAUGGGCCCGCGGCCUAUCAGCUUGUUGGUGGGGUGAUGGCCACCAAGGCGACGACGGUAGCCGGCCUGAGAGGCGACCGGCCACACUGGGACUGAGACACGGCCCAGACUCCUACGGGAGGCAGCAGUGGGGAAUCUUGCGCAAUGGGCGAAAGCCUGACGCAGCGACGCCGCGUGAGGGAUGACGGCCU